GACGAACGCUGGCGGCGUGCUUAACACAUGCAAGUCGAACGAAGAGCGAUGGAAGCUUGCUUCUAUCAAUCUUAGUGGCGAACGGGUGAGUAACGCGUAAUCAACCUGCCCUUCAGAGGGGGACAACAGUUGGAAACGACUGCUAAUACCGCAUACGAUCUAAUCUCGGCAUCGAGGAUAGAUGAAAGGUGGCCUCUACAUGUAAGCUAUCACUGAAGGAGGGGAUUGCGUCUGAUUAGCUAGUUGGAGGGGUAACGGCCCACCAAGGCGAUGAUCAGUAGCCGGUCUGAGAGGAUGAACGGCCACAUUGGGACUGAGACACGGCCCAGACUCCUACGGGAGGCAGCAGUGGGGAAUCUUCCGCAAUGGACGAAAGUCUGACGGAGCAACGCCGCGCGAGCGAUGACGGCCUUCGGGUUGUAAAGCUCUGUUAAUCGGGACGAAAGGCCUUCUUGCGAAUAGUGAGAAGGAUUGACGGUACCGGAAUAGAAAGCCACGGCUAACUACGUG
rnacentral:rRNA from 1 species